UUCUCACUGAAUGCUCGUAUAAAAAUAGAAAAGUGCAACAAACAUCACUAACCAUUGUCUAUGAAGCAUGGACACAAACACACUGACACGUCGACACUGAUAAUAAUUUGAGAAAAUGACAUAAUUCAAUGUAAUCAUAAGUGUGGCGUCGUGUCGGUGUCAGACACCAGGACACCUGUCCGUGCUUCACAGACCAUUGUUAAAGAAACUAAGUCACUAUUAUUACUUACAAGAUAUUACAUUUUCACAUCUAAUAACACACUCACCAAAUAAUCAGAUGAAACCCUUCUUCCCCUAAUUACCCAAAAGGGAAAGAAACAGUAAAGUUGAAUGAUUGUGAUUACAACCUCAUCAUCUUGUUUGCUAUUACUUUUCACCUUCAUUACGACCCUCCUCCUCAUGUUGAUCCAUAACCGUAUCUUGCAUUCACAAAAUCACGCAACGCACUGAGAAAUCAAAAAAUACGAAAUUAACAUUAGGGUUUCGAGUGAGUAAUGAAUAAUAUGAAUUAAACACGUCGAAUAACACAGUUUGAAGAGAAAAAGAAACAAUUUGCAUGAAAUAACGAUAGAAAUAAGAUAGUAAUAGAAAACCUAACACGGUAUAAGGGUGAAAUUGUUAAAGAAGAAAAACGAAUCAAGGAUGAAAUUACCGAAGUGAAGGUAUGAAUGAAGAGAGUGAGUAUCAGAAUCGUUGCGGAUUUAGAGUUGAUUGUUGAUUUGUGGAAGAAACCAAAAAUGGUGGUUUUGUGGUCUCGUCGUUCGUUCGAACCAUUGUUCGCUGUGAAAGUGAUAUGAAAAAAAAAAA
rnacentral:lncRNA from 1 species